rnacentral:rRNA from 1 species
UAAGAAUUUAAAAGUCGAACAGACUUAUUUGUUAAGAAUACUGCUUCUUAAAAUUUUCUUAAUUCAACAUCGAGGUCGCAAAAUACAAUAUAGAUAAGAACUCCCCAUUAAAAUUACGCUGUUAUCCCUAAGGUAACUUAAUCUUAUUAUCCCUGGUCGGGGAUCUAAAACCACAUAAAUAAAUGAAUACUAAAACUAAAGCUAACUAUUUAGCUACCACCCCAGCAAAAUAUAGAAUAAACAUUAUAAAAUAUAUAAAUAAAAUUCAAUAAUGUAAAACUAUAUAAAGUUCUAUAGGGUCUUAUCGUCCCAAUAAAAUAAUAAAGCAUUUUAACCUUAAAUUUAAAUUUUAAUAUUUAAAGAAAUAAAAUAUAAUUCUCAUACAUCCAUUCAUUCAAGCUUUCAAUUAAAAAACUAUUUACUAUGCUACCUUUGCACAGUCAAAAUACUGCAGCCAUUUAGAAAUUAACCAUAGGGCAGAAGAUACUUUUUAUAAAAUCA